GCCGGGCGUGGUGGCGGGUGCCUGUAGUCCCAGCUACUUGGGAGGCUGAGGCAGGAGAAUCACUUGAACCCAGGAGGCAGAGGUUGCAGUGAGCCGAGAUC
rnacentral:SRP_RNA from 1 species